rnacentral:rRNA from 1 species
UACGUAGGGGGCAAGCGUUGUCCGGAAUCAUUGGGCGUAAAGCGCGUGUAGGCGGUUACGUAAGUCUGCUGUGAAAGUCGGAGGCUCAACCUUCGAAAGCCGGUGGAUACUGCGUGACUAGAGUACGGAAGAGGAGAGUGGAAUUCCUGGUGUAGCGGUGAAAUGCGCAGAUAUCGGGAGGAACACCGGUGGCGAAGGCGGCGACCUGGGUCGACACUGACGCUGAGGCGCGAAAGCGUGGGGAGCAAACAGG